CCUACGGGAGGCAGCAGUGGGGAAUAUUGCACAAUGGGCGCAAGCCUGAUGCAGCAACGCCGCGUGAGGGACGACGGCCUUCGGGUUGUAAACCUCUUUUAGUAGGGAAGAAGCGAAAGUGACGGUACCUGCAGAAAAAGCACCGGCUAACUACGUGCCAGCAGCCGCGGUAAUACGUAGGGUGCAAGCGUUGUCCGGAAUUAUUGGGCGUAAAGAGCUCGUAGGCGGUUUGUCGCGUCUGCUGUGAAAACCCCGAGGCUCAACCUCGGGCCUGCAGUGGGUACGGGCAGACUAGAGUGCGGUAGGGGAGAUUGGAAUUCCUGGUGUAGCGGUGGAAUGCGCAGAUAUCAGGAGGAACACCGAUGGCGAAGGCAGAUCUCUGGGCCGUAACUGACGCUGAGGAGCGAAAGCAUGGGGAGCGAACAGGAUUAGAUACCCUGGUAGUCCAUGCCGUAAACGUUGGGAACUAGAUGUAGGGACCAUUCCACGGUUUCUGUGUCGCAGCUAACGCAUUAAGUUCCCCGCCUGGGGAGUACGGCCGCAAGGCUAAAACUCAAAGGAAUUGACGG
rnacentral:rRNA from 1 species